GCUGCCUUCAUUUGCAUUGACUCUCAACGACUUACCUUCCUUCAGGCAAACACCAGCCUGCAGUUAGAAGUGUGGUUUAAAAUAUAACUGUAUACUUAAUGAAUAAUAAUUUCCACGCGUGGGUUUUGGUGACAUCUCAUGCUAGCAGCAUCUACAAGCUGAUGGUCCCGGAUCAAGCAGGCAGCAGGUAGGAGGCUGGCAUAGGCAAAGGUUGGCAUACAUGUCAAGAGAAUGUUCUCCAGCUGGGGCCUGCAGUACAGAGAAUUGUAUAUACCAGAGGGCUCAUGGGACCCUAGGCAGAUUAUUAUGGUAAUAUUGGAGGCUGCUGUCCUCUCCCUCCCACAGCUGGGCCGCCUCUCUCAUUAGAAGAAAACUGAGACACAGAAGGAUUAAGAAGCUUGCUCAAGUUUGCAGAACUAAUAAUCAGUGAAGGGUGGAUGCAACCAAGGCUGACUGCCU